UGUUAGAGCGAGUACUUGCGUAUACGUUUCUCUUGCGAAUGACUUCAAGAAUCGGGCCCCUGAAGCCCUAUUCUGUACCGGCUACUGACAACUAUCGGCGUCGUUGUGCAGGCUUUUUGCCAUAUAAAAUAUCUGUGCAACGACACCGAUAGUUGUCGGUAGGCAGUACAGACUAGAUCCCCUACAUAGAAAGUGACUGAAAUCUGACGUUUAAAGUUGACGGAAAGUCAACUUUUGGUUAUGACGGGAUCGAAUUUUAGUUGACGUUUUUUGGGCCAUUCGCUGACUAUAAGUCGACUUAAGGUCGACUUUCGUCCUUAAAAAAGUUGACUUCAGGCCAAGUCAAGUUUCGAUGAAGUCGACUUAAAGUCGACUUUUUGCUCUUAGGGAUCUUAUAGAAAAUAACAGGCUGUUGUAUUUUGGGUUGUAACAACAAAAGUGAAGAAGGAUAUGUCAUAAAACACUUUCCAAUAAAUCCACUGAUAAAAAAAGUAUGGUUGGAAACUAAAAUUCGUUUUAUUAAAUUUAAAAUUAAAACGAGUUGUCGUUUAAAACGAUUAAAAAAACCUGUUUUUAUCAGCAAAAUUAUGGCUAUGCAUUCAAUGAUAAAAUAAUAUUUUAUUUUAUUAAUAAGUACAUAGCCAUAGUCUUACUAUUAUAUACCGUUAUGUAUAUUUACUUUACCAUAAGUGCGUAUAUAUUUAAGUACAAAACUAAUUUUGUUUGCAUAUAUAUAUAUAUAUAUGUUUAUUUUUAUAUAUAUUUUUUUUGUUUUUAUAUAUAUGUUUACCAAUUUAUAUUUUAUUUUUUAUGUUUGUUUACUUAUGGCCAGUUUAUUUAUAUUUAUAAUGUUUAUUCAAUAUUGUGAUUAAGUAAAACUGUGAUGUUAAACUGUAAUUUGCUUUUAUUUCUUAAAUUUCUAUUCAAAUUUUCCGUGUUUUCAUUUAUCAUUGAUUGGCUCCGCCAUUCCGUAUUAAGCCAAUCAAAAGUUGGUCCACUUGUGCCAGUCUCCCCUUUCAGGUUCUCUAGGCGGAGACCUUGCUUAGCGCCAUCUGUACAUUGACAUACUUUAGUGCUGACAACACAAGAGUUUCGCCGCUGCAUACAGAUGGAGAAAAGUAACGAAGUUAUAGUUAUCAAAAAAAAAGUAACUGUAAAGGCCAUCACACAACGCCAGGCAACAGGCAAUAGGAAUAGGAAAUAAAGAAAGAGAGAAAGAAAGAUCUUUUCUCUCUUUCAUUAUUUCUGUUCCUAUUGCCUGUUGCCUGGCAUUGUGUGAUGGCCCUAAUUGUAAUUUCGUUAUAAGCAUAGAUCUUAUAUACAUAGGUGAAAAGAGAAAACUUGUUUAUGCUUUAAUCCUUUAGUUAACACAUGCGUAAAAUGACGUAUUCAAAAUGGCAGACAACUUAACAUCUGCAUACAUCAUAUGGCCACAAUUCACCUAACCUAGUGUAUAAUUUUAUAACAACAAAAUGGGCUGGAGAUGCAAUGUAUGAAAAGUUUACUGUGUAAGGUAUAGCCUAAAUAUGUUAGGUUAUACCUUACACUACGAGAUUGAACAAGCGCACACGCGAGUGCGUCUGCGCUUUGUUACGUGCCGAAACACGAUAAAAAUUCUCUUUAAAAAAUAUUUCUAACUAAUCACCCUGUACAAACUGUCAUAAAACCAUCCUGAUACAUCACCUCAGAUCCUUACUUAUUGAUAACCUCUUCUAUCUACGGCCUUUUUAAACUUAAUAUUUGUUUGUUUCCUCGUCCUGUAAACAUCUUUGCAUCCCACCCAAACUAUUCUUUAUGACAUAUGGUCUGUUCUUUCUAGCUGCACUGUUGCACUGGUGCAAUAAGUUAAAGUAAGACAAGUAUAUUUUUUCUCAUUCUAACUUAUUGCACCAGUGCAACAGUGCAGCUAGAAAGAACAGACCAAUAGAUAUCAAUUCUCAAGUUCUUUCUAUUAUAAGAAAUCAACCAAUAGAUAUUUUCGUUUUGGGAACACUUCCUAUGAUUGGACGAUGCUUACGUAUUCCGACUUUAAUAUAAGGAUCUCUCUCGCGAUGAUUAGAGUCAGUCUCUGUAUUAGUUACUAGCCACUAGUAGUUAGACGAAAGUCUGUAAAACGUUGGAAUCAGUAGUGUAGGAAUAAAAUACAAACCUAGAGUCUUCUCUCUGGUUGGAAUAAAAUACUUUGAAAAACUAGUGCAAUUCAUUCUCUCACAUUACAUGCAUCUCACACGUAACAACUUACGCGGCGCUGCUGCCGGAAGUGAGGGCAGAAAAAGUAAGAAAAAGGUGAUGUAAGAGCACUGUACACAUGUGUGUGAAAAGACAAAAUAAUAAAGGACGCUUCUGAGGAACGACGGACCACCGGUUUUUCCGUUCUUCCCUGCGAGUGAGAUCCGGAAGAAGAUUCCACCACUUACCUACGUUUCAUCCUGAUCUUGAGGACGGGUCACGGUUAACCUGUCGGAACGGCCUCCCUCUUACAGUUGGGAAAAAGAUUAUAUUUUUAUAUUUUAUAUUUUACUUGAGUAUUUAUACGCUUCAUUAUGCAUUACAUUGUGCCUAAAUAUAUACUGGGUUUAACUUUAUUGCAUGCGUAGUCUCUUGUGAAGGAAAGAAGAUAAGCUAUCUCAACUCGGCGCUAUGUUUCUAUUCAGAAGGUGCAUCCAUGUAUAUAAGAUAUAUAUAGUUACAAGUAACUCUGUUACUUCCCAAUCCUGCAAAUAAUGUUUCAAUCUGUCGUGUCCAAUUAUUAAUGUGCGCAAUCGGAACAGUUAGUAACACAAUUUACGCAAAUAAUUUAAUAUUUUAAUAUGUAUUAUUUAAAUAUUUAUAUUAACAAGUAACACCAGCCUUGAGACCUUAAAUAUUUACCUAAAUUCGGAAGUUUUUUCCGUGCAAAUGAACAGUUUUAUUGAAAAACAAAUAUAAAUAUAUUAUUAUAAACAUUAAAUUAUUUGAAAAAAUUUUUUAUUUAUUACUCCUUAAAACGAUAUUGGAGGCAGAUGUAUUUUACUGAUAAAACGCAAUUUUUAUAAAAUGACUACGUCUUAUUGGUUUUACAGAUUUGGAAAAUCUCCAGAAUAAAAGUAUGUGCAUUAUUACCAGUUUAGAUUACGGAAUUUACAUCGAAAACAAGAAAAAUUUUAUAAUUCACAGCAUUUUUACUCUUCAAGAAUGGCAUGUGGAGUUAUCACAUCAUAACAAUAUUUGCUUGAUAUAAAAGAUCUUUAAUUUGUACUCAUGAAAUUCAAGACAGAAACAAUGUAGAGUUCUUAAAAACUUUCAUUACUUAAUUACUUAAGACGAAAUUGCUCUACAAAAAUGUAGGUUACUUAUGCAUGAAAAGUCGAUAAAUAGAGCAACAAAAAAUUUUUUUGUUCUCGGUAUAAAAUUUAAAUUUACAGACUGAUAUUAAUAUGAUAUACUUUAAUUGUGGAAAAGUAUUUCUAAAUCUAUGAAAGAAAACUACGAAAUCUUGUCAAUAAUGUACACUAAUUCAUUUGGCCUCGGAUUCAGCGAUCUAAAAAACUUCACGUACUGAUUUUCAUAAAAAUUAACAAAAAAUUGAAUUAUUGGACAUAUUAAAUUGGCCAUUUUUAAUUUUGAAAUUCUGACUUUUUAUAAUCAGUGACGCGAAAAAUUCCUGGUACAAAGUUUCACAAAAACCGAUCUAAUACAAAAAUUCAUGACAAAGAGUUAUAUAUAAAUGUGAUAUAACAAACAACAUUGCCACAUUUUCAUUAAUAUGAUAUAUUUAAAGAAAUUUGUAUAAUUUGUAUUUUUACAUAAGUAUAUCUAGAAGCGCUCACUGAGCGGCUAAAUAAAAUUUGAAAAUGAUUGGUUGGAUCCAAAAGUAAGAAUUAAUCAUUUUCGAUUGCUGUUUAGUUAUUAAUUAAGUAAACAUUUACACUUCUGAAUGCACUUAAUGAUAUGAUAAAAUUUUAUUUUUUUUUAUUCCAAAAUGUAUCUUGAACUCCCAUUUUUUCUUACGGAUACUAUUUUUAUCCUCAUAUUUUGUGUGAUUAAAUUAUUUGUAGACUCAGUUACUAUUUUAUUAUAUAACAGGAGAAAAUUUUUUUGAAAAAAAUCAAUUUUUUAAUUUUAUAUUCUUUAAGUAAAGUUUUCAUUACUUACUCUUUAAAUUACUCAAGUUUUGUCGAGAGAUUAUUUGAUGAUUUGAUGACAUUAUAAAUAAAAAAAAUGGCACACAAGUCAACAAAAUUGAAACACUUAAUCUAGUGUUCAUUAUUGGAUGUUUUUGAAUAAGAAAGUUUAUAAAUACAUAAGUCAUUAUCAUGUAUCUGGCUCUGUUCAUAAUUAUAUUUAUAUUAUAUUGCUGAGACUUAUUUGUUUUAACUUGUACAUAGUGACAUAAUUUUCAAAAUGCAGUUCAGGUAAGUUAGUUCAUCACUGAACAUUGAACAAUUUAUAUUGUUGUCAUUGCAAUUUUGACAAUUUUUCAAAAGUAACGUGAUGGAAAUCAAAAUUAGAUCACAACUAUAAAUAUUCAUUGACUAGAAAGACAAGCUCGUUUAACGUUACAGACGAUAAAGGAGGCGAAAGCAACGAUAAUACUGAAAUAAUUUAAAAAACAAUAAUUAAAAAAAACAUUACCUAAUUAUCUUACACAUAAUUUUAGUUGGAAAUGAUAAAAUUACAAAAUAUGCUUUAUAUAUAUACAUAUAUAUAUAUUCAUAUAUAUAUAACUAAUAUUUAUAAUACAAUAUUCCCUAAAAUAGUACAAUAAAUAAUAUAUACAAAAAAGAUUAUUCUUUUAAAUAAUAAAAAUAAACUUUAUUAAUUAAAAUCAAAAGUAAUUACAAGUUUUUUUCCUCAAUUUUCCGUUAAUGUAUUAUGAAUUAUAAAACGUAUAAACGAGGCAAAUUAGAAUUAUACGAUUAUUUAUAUCU